UCAGCCCAUUUCAAAACGCUUAUGCUUCGCGCUUCGAUCAGUUCAUUAUUCUCUCUCUCUGGCGCGCGCGCGGUUUUUCCCGGUUCUCGGUUUCGUUUGGUUCCCGCCGUCGACGUCCACAUUUCCGUUAUCCGGCGAGUUGUUCACUGCAUCUCUUUGUGGCCGCCGGGUUGUUCCAUGGCUUGGUACGAAGGCGUUGAGGAAAAACGUAUCCUCAUUGCUCCUGAUCAUGGGGUCAAAGAAAUUGGUACUGGAUGCUUUCUUUCACUUCGCCAUCCGAAAUCAGGAAACCCAACAUGUUUCUUAUAUGUAAAUGAGAUGUUAGAGGAAAUUCACUGGUUCAAGCAGUCAUAUUCAUCGUGGUUUUUGGGAGACUAUGUUACUGAAGAUGGCCGUCUGUAUUCUGCCACCCCAGUAGAUCCUGUAUUCAUUUUCUUGCCCAUUUUUGAGGAAGCUAGAAUGAAGAAGGGGGAUGAUCCUGGGAAAUUCAGGCAGUUAGAUGACAUAAUGUUCAUCAAUGGGUAUCCUGGAUAUCUGCAUUUACUGUCCCUUGCAGAGAAGUCUAUGCAAGUAGUUUGUGAGGUCAAAGAAGUCGGAUCAUCUAGGUUUUUUAGGCUCGAUGAUUCAAAGGUAUUGGCAUGGUUAUAUCACAAGGUAUGCCAACUGAAAAAAACUCUAUGCACACUGGAUAAAAACUAUGCUGCAAGGGAAGAAAAAGAAACAUUAAGCGACGCCGUUUCGAUUUUAGGGGAAUACUUGAAGGAUCAACCUUGGUUGAAGCUUUUAUGUGACCAUCUCAAGUUAAAUUUUGCUGAAGCAACCAGAAAAGCAUCGGAUUCGGAAAAGGCUCCUACUAGCAUAGAGAACAAAUUUGAUUCUAUCUCACAGGAUAAGAGUUGGAGUGACGCAAAGAAUACGAGAAAUGGAAAGCAAGCAAAGAAGCCUAAGGUGGAGACAGAAUCACGGAACAUCAAGGACAUGUUUUCAAAGGCUGCAAAAAGAAAAAGAUGAAGCAUUUCAGAUAUGUGAUGAUUUAAAAGCCAACAAAUUAGGUCCUUGCAUACUCUCUCAUUUGUGCCACAGCAAGUCAAUUUGGCAGAAUUGGAUUCCAAACCGAUUUCACAAAGCAUUUUUGAGGAAGGACUUUCAGCUUCUAACUUCCAUCUAAUCCGAGGUGCUGAAAUAGGCACUUAGGAUGUGGUUUAAGAUUUCUAGAUUAUUUCAAAGCAAUUACAAAGUUUAGGGUGUGUUUGGUUUAGUUUUAUGUUUAAUUUUGGAAAUGUCAUUUUGAAAAAGCAAAAUUGUAUUGUUUGACAUCCAACUCGAAAUAUGUUCUGAGAUAUUUUUAAAAUGAUUUUAAACAUGUUUUAUUAAAAUGA